GGGAACAUCCUGUUCUUAAGGGGAAUGCUUCCAGCAUUUCCUCAUUCAGGAUGACAUUGGCUGUGGGUUUUCCAUAAAUGGCUUUUACUAUUUUGAGGUAUCUUCCUUUGAUGCUUAGUUUACUGAGGGUUUUUAUCAUGAAGGGAUGUUGAAUUUUAACAAAAGGUUGCUCAGCAUCUAUCAAGGCUAUCAUAAGGUUCUGGUAUGAAGAUGGCUUCAUAGCAUCAUCCCUCCUCCUGAUGGCUGGAUUCCCUCCUCCAUUUUUUUUUUUUUUGGAAUAGUUUAAGUAGAAUUGAUACCAGCUUUUCUGUUAAAAUUUGGUUGUGAAUCCAUCUGGUCCAGGUUAGUUGGAGAAACCGCGGCUACUGUAGCCUUCCUCCUGCCCCAGACCUGCAACAGGGAAGAGCACGUUCAGGACCUAUUGCUGGGGCACCUUCCACACUUGUCACACAAUUCUGGCUGUUUAGACCCCCACCCUACUUCAGAGCCCCAGUGUUCCAAUCUCUGUCUUGAGACUAAAAUGCCUGUGUGGCCAUGCUGCCAGAUUGCCAAAGAAUGACUUAUUUGUAUAAACCUGGAUUAAAAAUGGUAUCCUGCUGCCAGACCCAGGUGUGGGAAAAUGCCUGUAGAUUUUUCUGGUAUUCUUCCCGCUCAUUGUCUUCAAGCCUCUCCCCAAGUUUGUGCCAGAGCUUGAAAGAAAAGAAGAGUUCUCCCAUGGCCUGCAUUGCACAGAACGCCGGGGGAAAGCAAGGGUCUGCUGCUUCACUCCUGAAGUCAGCUAGACCAUGAACCCACCAGGAGGAACAAACUCUGGACACACCAUCUUUAAGAACUGUAACACUCACUGGGAGGAGCCACAGCUUCAUUCUUGAAGUCAGCAAGACCAAGAACCUACCGGAAGUAACCAAUUCCAGAUACAAUGUCAUACUACAUUUCAACAAACAUUGUGCUACAAUACAAUGCAUUUAAAAUAUUUGGACUUUUUCAAACUUUCAACUUUUAGAAGACUAACAUUUUCUUUAAAAUAUAUGUUGCUUUUCUCUGUUAUUUAUGGGUUAUUUAGCCAACAAUUUGUGAUUGAAGCUGUGUGUCCAAGCAAUUGGAGCUUCUGAAUUUAAUAAAAACAAAUCUUCACCAUUUGGUUUCCAUUAUUUAGCACAAUGAAGUAAAUACUGUGCCUUUAAAUGCUUUUUUGACAUACUAUUUAAAUGUUUUAUUGACAUAUUAUUUAAUCUGUGUAAUAAUACUAUGUAUAGGUCAUAUAACACCUAUUUUAAAAUGAAGAAAUAAGGCCCAGAGAAUUUAAAUAAAUCACCCAAGGUCACACAGACAAUCAAAAGCAGAGCUAAAUUUUUAACCCAGGUUUAUCUAACUCCAAAGCUCAUGGUCUUAAUCACACUGUAGUUUACAUUGCAUUAUUUAAAUGAGUGAGCAUCAUUAUUAAGUGAAUGAGUAUAUAACUUAUUUUCUUUUAGCCAUUUCAGGGAGCCUGUUUUCCAUCACAUGGAAGAUAAUUUCACAAUAAUAUGACUAUUCUUCUCUCAUAGCCAUAAGAUGAUGAAAAUAAAUCAUUUAAAGUGCAUUUUCUUACCUAGAAAUGUCUUUUGUUUGGCAGAAUGAUUAAAAUAACUGUCACUUAUUCACUUAGGAAAAUAAAAGUAGUUGAAGGGGAGAAUAACUUUAUAAAGUGAUAUUUUCAGCAGCAAGGGUGGCCUCUUUUUCUUCUCUUCAACACAAUUAUUUCUAGUUAAUUUUACUGAGGGAGGGAAUUUCAUGAAUUUUGUACUCUGUAUUUAGUGACCAAUAUGUUUCUCAAGGUGCUAAUUUUCUGUUAAUGAGCAAUUGCUGUGGUUGGUUGGCAUUAUAAACUGAAGUUUAUAAACUACUUUAAAAAAUUAGUUAAAAUAUCUGAUUGUGAUCCUACCAGAAGGUAACAUUAGAAACCUAUUGAAAUGAUCCGUAGCUUUAUUUUUUUUGUUAAGCAUAAUUGUAUUGCUUGAUAAUAUGUACUAAUCAUCAAGAGUCAUAGUAAACAUAUAAUCUACUCACCAACUGAAAUCUUAUGGCUCAGGAAAAUUUUUUGUUUUGUUUUAAUAAGCAGUUUCUUUGCAAAUUAAGAUAUUUUUAAAUUGUCGGGAUAAAUAUAAUGGGGACUAUUCUCAUACAUUCAUACAUACUAAAAACUGCUUUAGGCAAUUUUUUGAAAAUAUUUCCACAUUAUAUGCAAG
rnacentral:lncRNA from 1 species